GACAGAGGGGGCAAGCGUUGCUCGGAAUUACUGGGCGUAAAGGGCGCGUAGGCGGGAUGGCAAGUCGGUCGUGAAAUCCUUCGGCUCAACCGAAGAACGUCGAUCGAUACUGCUGUUCUUGAGGGUUGCAGAGGAGACUGGAAUUCCCGGUGUAGCGGUGAAAUGUGUAGAGAUCGGGAGGAACACCGGUGGCGAAGGCGGGUCUCUGGGCAACUCCUGACGCUGAGGCACGAAAGCUAGGGGAGCAAACAGG
rnacentral:rRNA from 1 species